AUUGAACGCUGGCGGCAUGCUUUACACAUGCAAGUCGAACGGUAACAGGCCUUCGGGCGCUGACGAGUGGCGAACGGGUGAGUAAUAUAUCGGAACGUGCCCAGUAGUGGGGGAUAGCCCGGCGAAAGCCGGAUUAAUACCGCAUACGACCUACGGGUGAAAGGGGGGGAUCGCAAGACCUCUCGCUAUUGGAGCGGCCGAUAUCAGAUUAGGUAGUUGGUGGGGUAAAGGCCUACCAAGCCUGCGAUCUGUAGUUGGUCUGAGAGGACGACCAGCCACACUGGGACUGAGACACGGCCCAGACUCCUACGGGAGGCAGCAGUGGGGAAUUUUGGACAAUGGGCGCAAGCCUGAUUCAGCAAUGCCGCGUGCAGGAAGAAGGCCUUCGGGUUGUAAACUGCUUUUGUCAGGGAAGAAAUCCUCUGGGUUAAUACCCCGGGAGGAUGACGGUACCUGAAGAAUAAGCACCGGCUAACUACGUGCCAGCAGCCGCGGUAA
rnacentral:rRNA from 1 species